GCCCGGGUGGCGCAACUGGCUGACGCGGGGCACUUAAAAUGCUCUGCUCCUUCGGGAGCAUGAGGGUUCGAAUCCCUCCCCGGGCA
rnacentral:tRNA from 1 species